AGUCUCGGAUGUGCGCUCAGUCGUGUCUUAGGAUUGCGCCUGUAGUAAAAGUUGAACUCAGUCGAGAUAUUGCGCCUGGGGCUGGUUUGCUUCCAGCAGUGGUCGCGCUGCCACGGACUCGACUGGAUCGACGAAUUAUCGUCCGAUACUGAAACAUAUUUCAAUAAUUCAAUUAAAUUGAGUAAAACAGUGUAUCCUUAUCGCCGAUGACGUUUGAAAAGCCUCUAUUGCUGAUCUCUCAAAUUGCAUGAAAUUCGAAGAAGAAAAAUAUCGACUAACCACUGAGGGAGGCCGAGCUCUCCUGUCUGCUGGGCGUGACAUUGGCCGGUGGCCAGAAGGUCUUCUUGGGUACGGGGAACCAGGUGGUCCUCUCGCCGUCCCUACGAUGCGACAGCUCCAAAAUGAACUUGCCAUCCUUGAAAAACUUCAGUCUACCCCCGGGAGUGGGUAGAUGAUUGUUCGAGUUACCGGGUGCAGCGUUACUCGCGCCGUUGCUGGCGUCGUCCUCGUGGCCGCUGGGCGUCGAGGCAGGCGAUGCCACGAGGCUGCUGGGCCUCGGCGACGACUGCGAGUGAUGCGCUGCGUGGUUAUGAUGCUGUUGCUGCUGAACGGGUGGACUGGUCGGGUUCUUGCCGUUGGCCUUGCUGCUGCCGAGGGCCGGGUGAUGAUGCUGGAGCACUGCCGGCGGCGGCUCGCGGGAGCACAUCUCUGUCAUCGCCCUCACGUGACUCGCCUGGGUAUGACAUUCCGAAGACUUCUCGCGCAUGCUGCCGUUACCUGCUCGCGAGCCAUUCUCUGCCCUUCAACCUGUGGAGAAAAAAUUUUCGGCUGGAUUAGUCGAAAUCGUUGUCGAUCGUAAUUGACAGUGAUGCUGAUUGACUGAGUAUCGUCGCGUUUUAUUUCGAUAUUUUUGAUUUUUUUUAUCUGUGCUCCUGAUAUACUUGAGAUAUGAAAUAUCUUUGGAAGUACAUUCAAAUUUAUAAAACUGAUAACUAAACGAUUUGCAUUGUUAUAAACGUUACGAAACUAAUUUUAAGCUCUUUCUCAUAACACGUUGAGCUUUACUGCUGUUUAAAACAUCUUGCUAGGUACUUGGGAAUCACAUAAUUGUUAUAAACAAUUACUGAAUGCGUUACUAUCUAUUCUUGUUUAUGACAUCUGCUGUACACGCAAGCAUUUGUUUCUUUCUUUUUAUACUUGGAUAUAUUAAUUGAGCACUUAGCAGUGUACUAUAAAGGACUUUAAAUGGUAUCUGAAGAAAUGAACAAUUAUGCAAAUUCAUUCAAGUUUAGUUUUACAAGCAAAUGUAUUAUCAUAAAGUGGUUUUAUUCCAAUUUACAAUGCAAUAAAGGUUUGAUCCAUGAAAAA